ACACCUGCGCAUUUACCAUGCCACAAACAUGUUGAAAGAUGUGACAACUGAAGACUUCCCGAUUCUAAUUGAAGAAAGAGAGGACACUCAAUUAGACAAUAACUGCAUGGCACAAGAUAUAAAAGCCUGUGUUUAUCAGAACCUUGGACACAAAACUCUUUACCCACAAAUUAAACUCAUAGAGUGGGUUCAAUGUGACAGGUGUGACAAAUGGUUACACAAGAUUGUGCUGGCAUAGACCCUGCAAAAAUUGAUGAAAACACACCCUUCAGUUGUGGUUGUCAUCAGCCAUCAUAUUCUUGUCAACGGACUCGGGAGGCUUUGAAGCAGGGGCUUUUGGUUGAUUCCGUUGUGAGGGACGAAUAAAUUGUGAAGCUCGAUCAAGACCACACAUCUGGUGCUUUAAAAUCCCACCGUAUGUUUUUAGACCUCCAUCCCGCAUAUGCCCCAAAAUUAAAAAAACAAUGCAACUUGCGGAUUUCC